CCCCGUAACUUAGGGAUAAGGGGUGCCACCAUCAGGUGGCCGCAGAGAAUAGGCCCAAGCGACUGUUUACCAAAAACAUAGGUUUCUGCUAAGUCGCAAGACGAUGUAUAGGAGCUGACGCCUGCCCGGUGCUGGAAGGUUAAGGGGAUCUGUUAGAGCAAUCGAAGCAGUGAACUUAAGCCCCAGUAAACGGCGGCCGUAACUAUAACGGUCCUAAGGUAGCGAAAUUCCUUGUCGGGUAAGUUCCGACCCGCACGAAAGGCGUAACGAUUUGGGCACUGUCUCAACAACAGACUCGGUGAAAUUGUAAUUCCGGUGAAGAUGCCGGAUACCUGCGACAGGACGGAAAGACCCCAUGGAGCUUUACUGUAGCUUGACAUUGGGUCUUGGUACUACAUGUACAGGAUAGGUGGGAGGCUUUGAAACCAGGACGCCAGUUUUGGCGGAGCCAUCCUUGGGAUACCACCCUUGUAGUACUGGGACUCUAACCAUAGGCCAUGAAUCUGGUCUUGGGACACUGUCAGGUGGGCAGUUUGACUGGGGCGGUCGCCUCCCAAAAGGUAACGGAGGCGCUCAAAGGUUCUCUCAGUACGGUCGGAAAUCGUACGUAGAGUGUAAAGGCAAAAGAGAGCUUGAUUGCAAGACAUACAGGUCGAGCAAGGAUGAAAAUCGGACUUAGUGAUCCGGUGGUUCUGCGUGGAAGGGCCAUCGCUCAACGGAUAAAAGCUACCCUGGGGAUAACAGGCUUAUCUCCCCCAAGAGUCCACAUCGACGGGGAGGUUUGGCACCUCGAUGUCGGCUCAUCACAUCCUGGGGCUGUAGUAGGUCCCAAGGGUUGGGCUGUUCGCCCAUUAAAGUGGUACGCGAGCUGGGUUCAGAACGUCGUGAGACAGUUCGGUCCCUAUCCGUCGCAGGCGUAGGAAAUUUGAGAAGACCUGUCCUUAGUACGAGAGGACCGGGAUGGACGUACCUCUGGUGUACCAGUUGUCCUGCCAAGGGCAUGGCUGGGUAGCUAUGUACGGAAUGGAUAAGCGCUGAAAGCAUCUAAGCGCGAAGCCAACUUCAAGAUAAGAUUUCCCACCGCAAGGGUAAGACCCCAGAAAGACUAUCUGGUUGAUAGGUCGAAGGUGUAAGUGCAGCAAUGUAUUUAGCUUAUCGAUACUAAUAG
rnacentral:rRNA from 1 species